UACGAAGGCCCCGAGCGUUAUCCGGAUUUAUUGGGCGUAAAGAGAGCGCAGGUGGUCCUGCACGUCCCGCGUUAAAUGGCACUGCUUAACAGUGUCGCCGCGCGGGAUACGACAAGACUAGAGCGUGUGAGAGGUGACUAGAAUUCACGGUGUAGGGGUGAAAUCCGUUGAUAUCGUGGAGAAUACCAAAGGCGAAGGCAUGUCGCUGGCACACUGCUGACACUCAGGCUCGAAAGCGUGGGGAGCAAAAAGG
rnacentral:rRNA from 1 species